ensembl:lncRNA
AAACACUGGGCGAAACUCUCCCAACUCACUCUCUCUGAACGCGAACAUCGACUCGAGGACUGUGGAAGUUGUCAGGCUAUCCGCUCUCUGCCGCUCACUUCAACUAUACCGCUACCGGACGCCCCGGUGCGAGACUUCACCUCUGCCUGUCACACGGCUCCCGCCGCCGGGGACUGGAAUUUACAGGAGGCUGGGGCUUUAUUAAAGGAAAGCAUACUUGAAGGGGAACAAUACAUAUCUGGAUAUCCUCAGGCUCUGACGGUGUUGCUACUGAGAAACGUUCUCUUCUUGAGUAUGACUGGCGUUCGUUCGUAAGCAGGCUGGAGUAGGCUACUAAAAGUGGAGUCAUCAUAUACCGUAGUUCAUAUUUUCUUUUGUUUCACGCGCUCUGUCCGGAGCAGCGUCUGUCAUCUCCCGAACUGGAUUACUUCGCAUGUGUUUAUUUUGCGGGAAAUUGAGACGCUGCGUAAUCGUUUGGAGACGGAGAAACUAAUCGCGAAAUAAUUUGUAUUGUACACCUGUUUCUUAUUGCUCUGCUAGCUAUGUCAUCGGAGCAAACAACUGUCUCCACCGCCGUGAACAGAGGAGCUAAGAACCAUAUCCGAGACCGAGGAGCGAACCGAGCGGGUUCUUUUGGAACGGACCGAAAAACUUUUCUGUGGAACUUGUUGUGAAAUGAGUCACCGACAAAAAGGAACUCCCGUGCCAAGUGUAAUUUAACGGAGGUGGAAUUUGUCUUGUUUUCUCGGGAGGAAACUCAUACUUGUAUAAUCGGUCGUUCAUAAAGUUGUUCUCUCAACGAAGAGACUUCGUUCUAGAACUGGAACUCUGGAGAAAGUUUUGGAACUGGAACUCUGGAGAACGUUUUGGAACGCCGAACGCUCAGGGGGAAACGGUCGCGCAACUAAACGAUACAAUUCUCUUCUCCCCUCUUCUCCUCUCCUUCUACCCCCCCAUUACCAGUUAAGUGGUCUAGCCUGGACUGAUUCCAGGUCAUGUUGGGAUGACAGGUUUGAUGUGACCGGACCUCUGG